rnacentral:rRNA from 1 species
UACGUAGGUGACAAGCGUUGUCCGGAUUUAUUGGGCAUAAAGCGAGCGCAGGCGGCUCUUUAAGUCUGAUGUGAAAGCCCACGGCUCAACCGUGGAACGGCAUUGGAAACUGGAGAGCUUGAAUGUAGAAGAGGAAAGUAGAAUUCCAUGUGUAGCGGUGGAAUGCGUAGAUGUAUGGAGGAACACCAGUGGCGAAGGCGACUUUCUGGUCUACUAUUGACGCUGAGGCUCGAAAGCGUGGGGAGCGAACAGG